CACAGAUCAACACAUCAUCGACAGUAAAGUUUCCCCCACCGGCGUAUAUACACCAAGAAUCACACUGCAACUUAUUCAGCAAAGACAUAUAAAGUUCUGAAUUCCUUACUUCCUAGCGGUGUUUUACGGGGGCGGAUGAUGCCAGUGGUAGCUGGUGGCUUGGUGGACACUAGUUUAGCUCCCUUGGAUUUGCCUCCCUUUGGACUGUUGGGACUUCUGUGGUCAUAUUCAUAAGCCGUCAGAACAGGUGGGAGGGUUAAGGCAAAAGGAUAUUUGCUGCGAUAGGAAGGAAGAGGACGUCUGUCUGGGUGACAAUUUCCAGGUCGUGGCGGACUGACCCCACCCCCAUCUCACCCUCUACCCCCACAGCAAUGGCGUACAGCUCAACAUUCAACUCCA